rnacentral:lncRNA from 1 species
AAUAACUAGUUUACUCCAAUUCAGCUCUUUAUUUUUUUUCUCUUGCAGUAAACAUUGAAGUCUUCAGAAAACAAGUAAAGGAAUCCAAGGCAAGGAAGAAAGUAAAUUCAUCCUGGAAGGACUCAAAGCACUUUGAAAUUUUAAACGAAUGUAAUGAUAGCUGCUAAAACCACCUUUGUCACCAUAAUGGAUGAAGUACUUCAAAUUUAAACGGAAUUUAGAGUUAUUAGAAACAAGAAUCCAGAGUAGAAAAGAAGAGAAAAACUGGAAAAGAUUAUAAAAUUUUUUCUUCUUGUGAAAUUACAAGGACUGUUGCAUUUCAGGUAGAACAGAAAGCAAUUGUAGAAAGACUUAAGACUGCUUGUCAGUCUUCUUAAAUCUCUUUGAUCUUUGGCUGUAAUUGUUACAGUGCAUGUUUGGUAAAGAUUAAAAUGUUUGCAAAAUUUUUAAGGCAUCUUAGUGAACAAUUCAUUGCUAGUGUACUAAUUUGAUUUUGAUGGUAAGCAUUUGUUUGGGUCACUGUAUCUUGGUAGUGAAUGGG